rnacentral:rRNA from 1 species
AUUGAACGCUGGCGGCAUGCCUAACACAUGCAAGUCGAACGGAGGUAGGGGCAACUCUACUUCAGUGGCGGACGGGUGAGGAAUGCGUCGGAAUCUACCCUAUGGUGGGGGAUAACACAGGGAAACUUGUGCUAAUACCGCAUAAUGUCGAGAGACCAAAGCAGGGGACCGCAAGGCCUUGCGCGAUAGGAUGAGCCGACGCCCGAUUAGCUAGUUGGUAGGGUAAAGGCCUACCAAGGCGACGAUCGGUAGCUGGUCUGAGAGGAUGAUCAGCCACACUGGGACUGAGACACGGCCCAGACUCCUACGGGAGGCAGCAGUGGGGAAUAUUGGACAAUGGGCGCAAGCCUGAUCCAGCAAUGCCGCGUGUGUGAAGAAGGCCUGCGGGCUGUAAAGCACUUUUGUCGGGAAGAAAUCAUGCUGGUUAAUACCUGGUAUGGAUGACGGUACCGAAAGAAUAAGCACCGGCUAACUUCGUGCCAGCA